AGAAGAAGAAUACACACAGCACCUUCACUAGGGUAUAACGCUCACCCUACAAGAAACCCACCAGCAGAAACAUCUGUCACAUCUUCCACAACAUGCCAACGAGUACGAUGGAAUAGAAACUUGAGAAGCACGAUCCUUCUCGGGGUGUACUGCUGUGGUCCUUUAGAAACUGCGUCAUUCGUCUGGUCAAGGAAAUUUCCUGAAACUGUUGCAAAUACAAUGCUACUUCCUACGUUCCCAAGAAGCCAGUGGAUGUAGUGGAGAGAAGACCUGAACACAGUGAACAGAAGAAAGAGUGUGUGCACAGCCUUUAAGGUUACGCAAUAGUCGUCUUGUGAAGGAUAUAUAUUCUGGAACUCUGUCGAUAGCAACUAUACCCAUUUUCUCUUUUAACAUGGGACUUAAGACAAGGUCUUCCCCGUAAUUUGUUCAAAGUGCUGUGAGCACUUUACGUCACAGAUUGCUGAUUUUACAAAAUCUCAUGUGCAAAUCUGCUCUGACCUGUGAGACAUUAGUUCAUGAACACCUAUAAUUGUGGAGCCAGAGAGGCAAUGUUUACUACGAAAAUGUUGUAGCAGUCCUUUGCUAGAGCCACGUACAAAAAGAGAAGGGAGCUUUCUGAGGGUUAGCUUGAUUUCUUAGCAUCUCAUCCAUUGGGUUGAAGGAAGCCAUAGAACACUUCAAAUGCUGAGUGUCAGAAUGGGAGAGAUAUGUUGUGUCUAGAUGUCUAAUUAAAAGAUUAGUGCUUUCUUUUAACGUGUUAUGUGAUGGAAUUUGUGAAUACAGGAGUUUACAGUGCAUUCCCACACUUCCUGGAUGUUCACGUGUUCUGUGUCAGUCACUUCUACCAGAUGUCGCAGUUCGUUACUGCAUUGUGUGGUAUGUAGGGUAUGUAGCAUGUGGAUUACAACGAAAUUGCGUUAGAGAUUACUGGUAAUAAAGUCGAAUAACUAACUCACAGAGAUGAAGACGAGUUGUAACACACAUAAUAAUAAAAAAACUUCGUAGAUAGCGUGAGGACGCCACACCAAUCAAAGAGGAGCUCACAGAAAGUGGCUUAUUCAUGAAGUUUUGGGCGUGGGCUGAGUAAGGCUGUAUUGUCUGUGAUGAUGUGUGUACGCCAUUGAGUAUAAAUGGGGAGGAAAAAGAAAUGUUUUGCUCCAGGAUGCACGUCUUUCAGUGCACAGCAGAAUGAAAUUCUUCCAUUUUCCCAGGGAUUCACCAAGGCCUGCGACUCGCCAGCACGAGACCUCAAGUGACUCAUCUGCCAUAAGAGCAAGGAGCUGUUGCUGUGCAGUCAUAGCAAGCAAGUUACAGCAUUUCUCUGACAUCCAUUUUGCUGCCCUAUCAUCCAUGCUUGGGUCUUUCAGAUAGUCUUUUCUCUUGAGGCUGUGCCACAAAAAUCUGGUCAUGUCAAGACUGAAGUGAAAAUCUGGACAUAUCGAGAAAGAAGUGAGAAUCUUGGGCAUGUCAAGACUGAAGUGGAAAUCUGUGCAUGUCAAGACUGAAGUGAAAAUCUGUGCAAGUCAAGACUGAAGUGAGAAUCUGGGCAUGUCAAGACAUGGAAAAUUCUGUGCAUGUCAAGACACGUGAAAAUCUACGCAUGUCAAGACUGAAGUGAAAUUCCAUGUAUGGCAAGACUGAAACAUGGCGGGAAGAUAAUAUUACAGUAUUACAGGAAGAAAUGUGUGUGUCCAUGCCCAACAAACUGCCUCUCUUGUUUUGCUAUGUUUGCAUGUAGGUGGGUAACACAUAUGCAUGAUAUCAUCUGACUUGUGUUUUGUUUUGAUGCUGUGUAUGUGUGAUUUUUGUUACUAUUCACUUGCUUUUCUUUGUUGUGAUCACAGAACCUGCUGCUUAUUGUAAUGCUAUUAUGUUUCUGUAAAUGUAGAGGCCUCAGAUUGCAUCUGGUUAUGUAGGUUAGUCAUGUUUUUUGUUUAGGUGUCGUUGAGCUGCUGGUGUUUCCCUUAUGGUUUUGUUGGUUGUGGCUGUGUUGAAUGUUCUUGCUGGUACAUCAGUUUCUUGUGUUGAUGACCAACCACAGCACAAAAAACAUGUGCAGCUGAAGGACACUUGAAUAAAAAGCAGAUGGUUAACCUAGAUGCAGUCCGAGGCCUCCGCAUAUCAGAAAUACUCAGCUCAAUCACUAUACAGUACUGUCAGUUGAAGGGACACCUAUUUAAACUGGGACUGGUAAAUGGGUGCCUCUAUAAAAGGUGCCUUGACAUGGAUCACAUGUCCUAUUUGUGCCUGAGGAUGUGACUGAAUUACAAUUUUGUUGCCUGGGACUCCAACUGAAGGAACCAGUUGAGUAUGAAAUGGCCCCAUUAGGCAAAGUACUGUGCGUUAUUUGAGCUGCAGGAUAGCUAGUGGGCUAUGUUAAAAAUGGAGUGUAAAUAGACUGUAGACUGUCACUUCAUUCCAGCUCCUUUAAUCUAAUUCUAUGUAUAAAGUGAAUGUUCAUUAGGGCAGCUGGUAAAUAGAUUGUAGAGGGUUCUGACAGUGGUGUAUAACACUCAGAAUUACUGGGUUUUCGGAAACAGAUCCAGUUUCCGAAACGCUGUGUUUUCUAGUUUCUAGACAAUUGACAAAGUCUAAAAACCCAGUAAUUCUGACAGUUGAUAAAGUGUGUAGAAAUUGUUUUUUGACCUUCAGUUCCAGUGUGAUGACAUUAACUACUGAACCACUGCAGCUGGACACGUGAAACUUGGUACAGAGAUAGGUCAUAAAACAUACUUGCAUGUCAUGUUUAUUAUGAUGAUGGAGGUAGUGUGUAACUCUUGAGGCUAUCUGACAGGUUAAUGUAAUCAGUCUGUAUUUAAGUAACAUGUUCCUCAUGUGAUGAUGACAACAGCAGGAGCAAUAAUAGUAAUAAUAAUUUACUUGCAACUUAACAGCACAGAGUCCAAUUACAAGGUUAGCAUGAGUACAUAGAA